GACGUAGGUGGCGAACGUUAUCCGGAAUUAUUGGGCGUAAAGGGUGCGUAGGCGGCAUGAUAAGUUAUUGGCGGCAAAUCGAGGCUCAACCUCGUGGAAACUGAUAAUACUGUCUUGCUUGAGUGCAGAAGAGGUUAACGGAACUCCAUGUGGAGCGGUAAAAUGUGUAGAUAUAUGGAAGAGCAUCAAUAACGGCGAAGGCAGUUAACUAUUCUGUUACUGACGUUGAGGCACGAAAGCGUGGGGAGCAAAAAGG
rnacentral:rRNA from 1 species